CUUCAAUUUUACCAAACAGAGUUUUUAUGAUGCUACAACCCACUUUGAGACGACGGUCACUGAUGUUCUUAGCUUGUAUACCAUGAUAACUGGGAAGGUUCUUGAUCUCAGUGUGGAUUUGAGUGCUUCCAGUGCUGCAGAAGAAUGAA